rnacentral:rRNA from 1 species
CUACGGGAGGCAGCAGUGGGGAAUCUUGCGCAAUGGGCGAAAGCCUGACGCAGCAACGCCGCGUGCGGGAAGAAGGCUUUAGGGUUGUAAACCGCUUUCAGCAGGAACGAAAAUGACGGUACCUGCAGAAGAAGGUGCGGCCAACUACGUGCCAGCAGCCGCGGUGACACGUAGGCACCAAGCGUUGUCCGGAUUUAUUGGGCGUAAAGAGCUCGUAGGCGGUUCAGUAAGUCGGGUGUGAAAACUUCGGGCUUAACCCGAAGACUGCACCCGAUACUGCUGUGACUUGAGUCCGGUAGGGGAGUGGGGAAUUCCUGGUGUAGCGGUGAAAUGCGCAGAUAUCAGGAGGAACACCGGUGGCGAAGGCGCCACUCUGGGCCGGUACUGGCGCUGAGGAGCGAAAGCGUGGGGAGCAAACAGGAUUAGAUACCCUAGUAGUCC